UACGGAGGGUGCAAGCGUUAUCCGGAUUCACUGGGUUUAAAGGGUGCGUAGGAGGACUGGUAAGUCAGUGGUGAAAUCCCCGAGCUUAACUUGGGAACUGCCGUUGAUACUAUCAGUCUUGAAUACCGUGGAGGUGAGCGGAAUAUGUCAUGUAGCGGUGAAAUGCUUAGAUAUGACAUAGAACACCAAUUGCGAAGGCAGCUCGCUACACGAAUAUUGACGCUGAGGCACGAAAGCGUGGGGAGCAAACAGG
rnacentral:rRNA from 1 species